rnacentral:rRNA from 1 species
GAUGAACGCUGGCGGCGUGCCUAAUACAUGCAAGUCGAGCGAACAGACGAGGAGCUUGCUCCUCUGACGUUAGCGGCGGACGGGUGAGUAACACGUGGAUACCCUACCUAUAAGACUGGGAUAACUUCGGGAAACCGGAGCUAAUACCGGAUAAUAUAUUGAACCGCAUGGUUCAAUAGUGAAAGACGGUUUUGCUGUCACUUAUAGCUAGUUCCGCGCCGCAUUAGCUAGUUGGUAAGGUAACGGCUUACCAAGGCAACGAUGCGUAGCCGACGUGAGAGGGUGAUCGGCCACACUGGAACUGAGACACGGUCCAGACUCCUACGGGAGGCAGCAGUAGGGAAUCUUACGCAAUGGGCGAAAGCCUGACGGAGCAACGCCGCGUGAGUGAUGAAGGUCUUCGGAUCGUAAAACUCUGUUAUUAGGGAAGAACAAAUGUGUAAGUAACUAUGCACGUCUUGACGGUACCUAAUCAGAAAGCCACGGCUAACUACGUG